rnacentral:rRNA from 1 species
AUUGAACGCUGGCGGCAGGCUUAACACAUGCAAGUCGAACGAGCGGCGGACGGGUGAGUAAUGUCUGGGAAACUGCCUGAUGGAGGGGGAUAACUACUGGAAACGGUAGCUAAUACCGCAUACCAUCAGAUGUGCCCAGAUGGGAUUAGCUAGUAGGGGGGGUAAUGGCUCACCUAGGCGACGAUCCCUAGAUGGUCUGAGAGGAUGACAAGCCACACUGGAACUGAGACACGGUCCAGACUCCUACGGGAGGCAGCAGUGGGGAAUAGGGCACAAUGGGCGGAAGCCUGAUGCAGCAAUGCCGCGUGUGUGAAGAAGGCCUUCGGGUUGUAAAGCACUUGCAGCGAGGAGGCGUUACUCGCAGAAGAAGCACCGGCUAACUCCGUGCCAGCAGCCGCGGUAAUUC